UCAGUCGGACACAGACAAACAAGUCGGGUGAUUUUUGUCUUUUAAACCAGAAAGACUGCUGACAGAUCUAACCAACACUCGCGCCACAGAAACUAAAGCAACAGAGACUGCAAUCUCAAGACUGCUGCAAUACUACGAGCCUAAAAUGAAAAAAAGGAGCCUGAGCAGGUGCAGAAGGCAGCAGUCCCCAUCAUUGCUGCUGAGGAGGAAGAGGAAAUGUCACGAGGGAACCCACUGGAUGUUUUGAUUGUCUUUGAAGACGGAGAGGUGAUGUCAACCAAGUCUAGGGUCAGUGCACUGCUGCUGCUUUUGCACUUUAUGCCCUUAUUUAGAGUACACUAAAUUCUCAAAGCAGCUUUACAGAAAAUGCAUGUGUCUAUAUUACAAUUUAGCCUGAUCUGUACUAUAAAUACUAUACUUUCAACUCGAAUAGUGUUGUAUCAUGUAAUUUAUAGUGAUGCUACAUGGGUGUACUAACUUUUGUUGUAUACUGUAUGUUUGACUAAUACACUGGAAGCAAUAUUGACGUGACAUACUGAUACAAUUCCUCACUGCUAAUCAUGAUGUUCAUUCUAUUUAGUAUGGGUUUAAUACAGGAUACUUACAGUCUGAUGUAGUAAAAAGAAAACUGUAUGAACAUGCCCUUUGACCUUACCACACACAAGUACAUCUGAUGUGCGAGCGGCCAUCAGGCGCAAAUGUAACAAAGGGCAAUUCUUUA